rnacentral:rRNA from 1 species
ACACCGGCAGCUCAAGUGGUGGCCAUUUUUAUUGGGCCUAAAGCGUUCGUAGCCGGCUUGAUAAGUCUCUGGUGAAAUCCCAUAGCUUAACUGUGGGAAUUGCUGGAGAUACUAUUAGGCUUGAGGCCGGGAGAGGUUAGGGGUACUCCCAGGGUAGGGGUGAAAUCCUAUAAUCCUGGGAGGACCACCUGUGGCGAAGGCGCCUAACUGGUCCAUUACUGACGCUGAGGUGCGAAAGCGUGGGGAGC